AACUUUUAACAAUGGAUCACUUGGUUCUGGCAUCGAUGGAGAACGCAGCGAAAUGCGAUAAGUAGUGUGAAUUGCAGAAUUCAGUGAAUCAUCGAAUCUUUGAACGCACAUUGCGCCCCUUGGCAUCCCGAGGGGCAUGCCUGUUCGAGCGUCAUUUCACCACUCAAGCCCGGCUUGGUGUUGGGCGACGUCCCCUUUGGGGACGCGCCUUGAAACGCUCGGCGGCGUGGCACCGGCUUUAAGCGUAGCAGAAUCUUUCGCUUCGAAAGUCGGAGCCCCGUCUGCCGGAAGACCUACUCGCAAGGUUGACCUCGGAUCAGGCAGGGAUACCCGCUGAACUUAAGAAUAUCAAUAAGAGGAGGCU
rnacentral:misc_RNA from 1 species